CAAAGAUGUGUACCUCUAAGAAAGCCUUCAAAGACCAGACUUUCUGCAAAUAUCCCUUCAGGGAUUGGCUCUGGAUCAAUUGGCAGGGCAGAGUUGUCAGAUGGCAGACGUGUGCAUCUGGGAGGUUGCAUUUCUCAGUGUGAGGGAAUC